UUGAAAGGGAAACGAUUGAAGUCAGUCAUGCUAGUGAAAAAUCAGUUUGACGGGUUUUGAGUUCUUGAGUAGAGGCAGGGUCAAACCGUUUCUCUUUUGGACUUGGGAUUUGUUAGAUGUACUUUUUCUUUAGCAGGUCAACGUCGGUUUCGGGGGUUGUAAAAUACUUGGGGGAAAGUAGCUCUGCUUCGGGAGAGUGUUAUAGACCCUGGGAGAUGCAGCCUGUGGGAUCGAGGAUUGCAGCAAAUGCCUUUUGGCUUGUCGCCUGUUCCUGGGUGUUACCUGUCUUGUGACAACAUUCUUGCCACCGGGGAGUACUAAUGCCUACUGUUUAGAGCGAUCGAAAAUUUCGUUAAGGAUGUUGACGUA
rnacentral:rRNA from 1 species